rnacentral:rRNA from 1 species
AGCAAUGUAUGGGGAUCUGCCUGAUGGCGGGGGAUAACUACUGGAAACGGUAGCUAAUACCGCAUAAUGUCUGCGGACCAAAGCGGGGGACCUCCGGGCCUCGCGCCAUCAGAUGAACCCAUAUGGGAUUAGCUUGUAGGUAAGGUAACGGCUUACCUAGGCGACGAUCCCUAGCUGGUCUGAGAGGAUGAUCAGCCACACUGGGACUGAGACACGGCCCAG